UUUUUGGACCACAUAAAUAAAUGUUUUCUUUUUUUUAAUUCAAGGGAUUCAUAAUUGCAAAAGUUUUUACUAUUCGCUUGAUAGUUAAAACAUUUUACUUUGAGCAGCCUAUCAUCAACCUUUUAAUUUUUCUCUUGUUAAAUGAAUACUUCUAACAGGCAGAUCCUCAUUUGUCAGUGACUUUGUAUUAAACAGUUCUCCAACAUGACAAUCAUGAGUUCAUGAAAAUCUGAAUCUUUUGCAAGAUUUUUGCAAUUUUACUUUACAAUCUCUUUGCUUUGUAUUAUGAGAUGCUUCAAAAUCUGGCAUCACUGCAGUGGGAAUGCUAGAAUUAAAUAUGGAGCAUGUCUUCACCUGGGCAUUCAUUUUGUCAGUGGCCAGUUAAGUAGUGAACAUUUUCAUUUUAUAUUUGUAAAGUUACAAAGAUGUUAAUUUCCCUACAUGGCUACAUAAAUUUGGAUAAUAACUGGGCAAAAAUGUUAAAUAUACUUGGAUCUAUUUUCAGUAUUUCUUAUUCCAUCUUUUCUUUAAAAAAUUCUUUUAAUUAUUAUACCUUAAAUCUAGUAGCAAUAUUGUAGUUUAAUAUAUCUGGUAGGUAUGUUUCUAUAGUUAGUCUUCAAUUUACAAAAUAUUUCAUGACUCCUAUCACAUUGA
rnacentral:lncRNA from 1 species